rnacentral:rRNA from 1 species
GAUGAACGCUGGCGGCGUGCCUAAUACAUGCAAGUCGAGCGAACAGAUAAGGAGCUUGCUCCUUUGCCGUUAGCGGCGGACGGGUGAGUAACACGUGGGUAACCUACCUAUAAGACUGGAAUAACUCCGGGAAACCGGGGCUAAUGCCGGAUAACAUUUAGAACCGCAUGGUUCUAAAGUGAAAGAUGGUUUUGCUAUCACUUAUAGAUGGACCCGCGCCGUAUUAGCUAGUUGGUAAGGUAACGGCUUACCAAGGCAACGAUACGUAGCCGACCUGAGAGGGUGAUCGGCCACACUGGAGCUGCGACACGGUCCAGACUCCUACGGGAGGCAGCAGUAGGGAAUCUUCCACAAUGGGCGAAAGCCUGACGGAGCAACGCCGCGUGAGUGAUGAAGGUCUUCGGAUCGUAAAACUCUGUUAUUAGGGAAGAACAAAUGUGUAAGUAACUGUGCACGUCUUGACGGUACCUAAUCAGAAAGCCACGGCUAACUACGUG